UGUGUUUAACCCUCAUCUCGACCCCACAGGUUGGUACACGGUUCCCAUGUCAUGGAUGAGGCAACUACAGUUCAGGUGAAAUAAACUCAAGGUCCCACAGCUCGGGGUAGCAGAGCUAAGAUGUAAACCCCUGUUCAGACUCCUUCUAUGCCUCUGGAGAAGGAGGGGCAGUCUCCUCCAGGACAUCCCUUCUCUUGCUGCAUGUGUCUAGACAAGUCAUUUGGCCUUGAAGUAUGACUGUCCCGUGUGUGACCCUGCCAGGGAGAAGAUGCUGGUGAAUAAUACACUCUCCCUAUGGCCCUGGGGAGUUCCUGGAGCUGCCAGGUGACAUGAAGCACAUACCCACAGCCCUGCUACCAAACAUCUCCCUGUCUUGGGCUGACUGGGUAUCACGAAUUUCCCCUUUAAGAACCGUUGAUUGCUCAAGCUAGAGGGGAGACGAAUGCUGACCUACCCAGAAAUCACAAAGAGGAAGCUUAGAGCCCAGGAGCACAGAGAAAGAGCAAUUCAUGACAGCUGGGAAGGACAGGGCGGCUUCACGCAGAGGUGGGAUCUGAGACGCGCAGGGUUUCAGCAGAGCUGUGUGUGGGGUGAGGUCACUGCACUGGAGGGGCAGCAUGAGCACAGGCCUGCACCUGCUAGCCGGGCUGACAUCUGUGAACCAGCCACAGCCAACCUCCCAGUGCCCACACCUGGGCCCAGCAACCUAGGGGGCCUUAUCUGCAUGGCCCAGGCCCAGGGACACGACGGGGUUUGGCUCUGUGUACUGGGCAGGGCAGAGCUGUGGAAGGUCAGCAGCAUGUGGCUUUUGUUGACCUCAAAAGGGUCUAAAAAACAUCUUGACUAGUAGUAAAGUCUCUUUCUUCGUCAGGGUUGCUAUCCCGAGACAUACAGCCUUGGCGGGGCUGGGCAGAGGUGUAGCUGCCCACGCAGGGACACCCCUCCAUGUACUCACCACUCCUCUGAAAAUACUCCCAUGCUCCUGCUGGAGCUCUGGGGGCACCAGCAAACUGUCACCACAGCUUAUGGCUUGAGGAGCCUCAGCCUUCCUGGGGAGGCAGGGGGAGCCCACAUGGAAGCAGGACCAUCAGACUGAGGGGCUGCAGGGGCCUUGGAGUCUGAACAGUGGGUGUCAUAUGUGGGGUGAAGUCCCUGGAAGGGUACUUUCAAGAAGACGGACUUGAAACAACAUGAAGGUGGAAUGUGAACAAAAUAUGAGAGAGGAUGUUCCAGGUAGAGACUUAGCUUGAGCAAAGGUGCGGAGAAGGAAUUUACUUGCUGGGAAAGCCAGAGAGAUGGGACUGGCUGACUGUAGGUCUACCGUGAAGCUGAAAUACAACUCAGAUGUGACCAAGGCUCUGGCCAGAUACAAAAGCACAGGGGCUAAAUAAGCUGGAGACACCACCUGCGGAGAGCAAAAUGAAGCCCUGCUGUUCUGAGACCUCACUUCAGCUGGAGUAGAAGUGGGGUACAGCACCCCCAAAGGCAUGCCCAGGGCUAGGCCAGGACUGGCCAUCCUCUCCCCCUACCAUUGCCCCCCACCCAAUGAGCCCCUGGGCCUAGCAUCAGGACUGAAGUUUUGUGUUUUUUCCCAGAGCAGAUCCCUUACAAUGACAUAAACACUGCCUCAGGGGCUGGAAGCAAAACUUUCCAAAGAGCUGAAAACAGAAAGUAAAU